CCUACGGGAGGCAGCAGUGAGGAAUAUUGGUCAAUGGACGCAAGGCUGAACCAGCCAUGCCGCGUGCAGGAAGACGGCUCUAUGGGUUGUAAACUGCUUUUGUAGGAGGGUAAACGCAGAUACGCGUAUCUGUCUGAAAGUAUCGUACGAAUAAGGAUCGGCUAACUCCGUGCCAGCAGCCGCGGUAAUACGGAGGAUUCAAGCGUUAUCCGGAUUUAUUGGGUUUAAAGGGUGCGUAGGCGGUCGGGUAAGUUAGAGGUGAAAUUCUGUGGCUCAACGUCGGAAUUGCCUCUGAGACUGUUCGGCUAGAGAGUAGUUGCGGUAGGCGGAAUGUAUGGUGUAGCGGUGAAAUGCUUAGAGAUCAUACAGAACACCGAUUGCGAAGGCAGCUUACCAAGCUACUUCUGACGUUGAGGCACGAAAGCGUGGGGAGCAAACAGGAUUAGAUACCCCUGUAGUC
rnacentral:rRNA from 1 species